rnacentral:rRNA from 1 species
GAUGAACGCUGGCGGCGUGCCUAAUACAUGCAAGUCGAGCGAACAGAUGAGGAGCUUGCUCCUCUGACGUUAGCGGCGGACGGGUGAGUAACACGUGGAUAACCUACCUAUAAGACUGGGAUAACUUCGGGAAACCGGAGCUAAUACCGGAUAAUAUAUUGAACCGCAUGGUUCAAUAGUGAAAGACGGCUUUGCUGUCACUUAUAGAUGGUUCCGCGCCGCAUUAGCUAGUUGGUAAGGUAACGGCUUACCAAGGCAACGAUGCGUAGCCGACCUGAGAGGAUGAUCGGCCACACUGGAACUGAGACACGGUCCAGACUCCUACGGGAGGCAGCAGUAGGGAAUCUUCCGCAAUGGGCGAAAGCCUGACGGAGCAACGCCGCGUGAGUGAUGAAGGUCUUCGGAUCGUAAAACUCUGUUAUUAGGGAAGAACAAAUGUGUAAGUAACUAUGCACGUCUUGACGGUACCUAAUCAGAAAGCCACGGCUAACUACGUG